AUGCGCUUGGGAACCAAUCAGAAGGUUACAACAGCUUUCUCUUCCCUCCCACGAAACGGCCAUUUCGUCGUGUUACUGGUUUUCGAUUUGGUUUGCGUUGGUACCUUCGUUUUCACUACAAUCGCUGUGUGUGUUCCUCCGUUGAAUUAUGAGGCAACUGAAGGAGAGAAUGUUACUAUCUCCUUCAAAACUGCUGGACUGGAGAGAGCCGAUCAAGUGAAGAUAACUCUGACCAGAGGAAGUCAGAAAAAACUGAUUGCGCAGCACUGUCGCUGUGUCCAUCGUGGAGACUGUAGUGUCAGGGAAACAUCGGGAGUCUUACUGAGAGUUGAAGAAGGAACCGUAACUCUUCUACGUGUCAGCUCCAAUAACUCAGGCCUCUAUGAAGUAAUAAUCAUUGGAAGUAAUGUGUCCAGGAUAAAUGCCACACUUGUUGUCAACGAACCUCGGUUGUCCUCCAGUAAUGAGCCACCACAAUCCUCCAUCACAAAACCUCCAGACUCCUCUGAACGCCAAAGGCUUUAUGUGUUAAUUGCUCCAGUUGUAUUCAUCUUGGUGGUCUUGGGGGGUUUGUUUCUUCUGUACAUUUUCAGGAGGAAAUGUAAGUCAUCAGCUGAUGUUGAAGCAGUGUGCUGAACCGCUGCUGUCUCCAGAUUCAGUAUCUUCAAAAAAAAAAAAAAAAAAAAAAAAAAAAAUUAAGACUGAAGAUCAACUGGUGGAGUUUUAAAACUCAAAAUAUUAGGGCUUCACUGAUAUCCAGGUGUUCAGAAUGACAUCUGAUGGUACAGAUCUCACGCUUUGUGCUGUAUGGUUUGCAUUUCCUCAUUCUGUAAAAUGCUUCAGCUACAGGCCUAUAUGUCAGUUUUUAAGAAACACAGUUUCUCCGAAGCAAUACUGUAAGGGAUACAGGAAACCCACUUUAUUUAGUUCACUAAUACUGAAAUUAACAACAGAGCACAAACUGUUAUAUUCAGCUGCUGUUUAUUUUAGGAUCUUCUAAUUACACUCCAAAAAACGUCAAUUAAAACAGUUGUAUACAAAAAGAUGUAUUUGCACAUAACUUUAUUUAGAUUUAAAUUUACAUUAAUAACUAUCAAUAAACUCCUCCUAAAAUGUUUUAAUAGCUAACA
ensembl:lncRNA